rnacentral:tRNA from 1 species
AGUAAGGUGCCUGAGUGAAAGGGUAACUUUGAUGUGGUUAUAUAUGAGAAGAUCUCUUACUG